UAACAUAAAAAACUUCUUAAAAUUAAUUAAUUUUUUAAUACAUCUAAAUAUUACUGAGAUGAAAAUGUGCUUGUUGGUCACAUCCAUCUAAAUACAAAUUGUAAACGAUAAUGAUGUCUCUGAAUAAGCAUUGAAGUGUUAUUCUACAUACAUACACACAUACAUCUCUGAAUAAGCAUUAAAGUGUUAUUCUACAUACAUACAGAUCUGAAUAAGCAUUAAAGUGUUAUUCUACAUAAUACAUACAUACUUUCACAUAAUUGUUUACCAAGCAAAACAUGAAAACCAUUAGUAGCAUAAUG
rnacentral:lncRNA from 1 species